CCUACGGGUGGCAGCAGUGGGGGAUAUUGCACAAUGGGGGGAACCCUGAUGCAGCGACGCAGCGUGGGUGAAGAAGCGCCUCGGCGAGUAAAGCCCUGUCAGCAGGGAAGAAAAUGACGGUACGUGAAGAAGAAGCACCGGCUAACAACGUGACAGCAGCCGCGUUAAUACGUAGGGGGCAAGCGUAAUCCGGAUUUACUGGGUGUAAAGGGGGCGCAGACGGCGAUGCAAGACAGGAGGGAAAGCCCGGGGCCCAACCCCGGGACUGCUCUUGGAACUGCGUGGCUGGAGUGCAGGAGGGGCAGGCGGAAUUCGUGGUGUAGCGGUGAAAUGCGUAGAUAUCAGGAGGAACACCGGUGGCGAAGGCGGCCUGCGGGACUGCAACUGACGUUGAGGCCCGAAAGCGUGGGGAGCGAACAGGAUUAGAUACCCGAGUAGUC
rnacentral:rRNA from 1 species